rnacentral:rRNA from 1 species
UCAACGCUGGCGGCGUGCCUAACACAUGCAAGUCGAACGAGAAAGUGGGGGCAACUCCAUGAGUAAAGUGGCAGACGGGUGAGUAACACGUGAACAACCUACCCUUGAGUGUGGAAUAACACCGCGAAAGCGGUGCUAAUACCGCAUAACAUCUUCGGGUCGCAUGAUCUGGAGAUCAAAAGCGCAAGUUGCUUGAGGAGGGGUUCGCGCCUGAUUAGCUAGUUGGUGAGGUAACGGCCCACCAAGGCUUCGAUCAGUAGCCGGCCUGAGAGGGCGAACGGCCACACUGGAACUGAGACACGGUCCAGACUCCUACGGGAGGCAGCAGUGGGGAAUUUUGCGCAAUGGGCGAAAGCCUGACGCAGCAACGCCGCGUGGAGGAUGAAGGCCUCGGUCGUAAACUCCUGUCAGUAGGACGAAUGCCUCGCAGAGUUGACUGUACCUGCUGAGGAAGCCACGGCUAACUCCGUGCCAGCA